rnacentral:lncRNA from 1 species
GAAAAUUUUCAAAGUUUUAGCCAUCAAAAGUUCCCCCUAAAAGCUCUCUCUCUAAUAUUCAGAUCUGAACUUCAUUCAAAUAUUCAAAAAUCGAAAAAUAAUAGAAAACAGAAAAAAAAAUCAAAAAAUAAUUUACUUUUUUGUUACCUAUUUCGAUCAUUUUCAAAUUUCUCUUUGCUUUUCUUCAUUUCUGCUCUAAGCUUGAGUUCUAAUGGCAUUUGGAGUUGUUUAGUGACUUGUUCAAGUGAAUUUGGGACUACUUAGUUUGGAUUUUGGUUGAGUUUUUCUCCAGUGAAGUUUUAGGAGCAUUUUAAGUUCAAUCUCGAGUUAAUUUGGGGUGCAUUUGGGUGAUUUGUGAUUGAUAUCUCCUUUUCGUCUGGCUUCAAACUUUUUUUAGGGUUGUGAUUCUAUUUUCUAGGCGGUGUAUUUGUUGCUGUGUUUGAGUUUGCUGCUGACCUCCUGAUUUUCUGAUUUGUUAUUCGAAUUUCAGGUACACCAAUUGCAUCCUUGACUGAUUGUGAGCUGAAAAAUGUGUAGAAAGAAAGUAAUAUGAAGAAUGGAAGCAAAAGUUGGAUUUAGUUCAUGUAUAUUUUCUGUUUAUGAUUAUAUUGAUUGGAAUGUGUUGAAUUCGUAUGUUCUGAUCUUAUUAAUUCUGGAUUGUUCUUUAGAGUCAUGAAUUCCUUGGGCAAAUGAUAUUAGGUUGAAUCAGAAUAGAAUAAUCGUUUGUUUGAGUUUGAGUUAUCAUCUUGCUCGACGUAGUGUUUUAAUGAAAUCACCAGUAGAAUAGUGCAUAAUAUAGUUCAGGCAUAGAAUUAGAAAUCAAAUAAUUAGUGUCCUGUUAAUUCGAGUUCAGACAUAUAGAGGAUUGGAUAACUGAACCACUCAUUUAGAUCUCCAAAUUUUGAAUUCAUUUGCAUGUGUAGAAUCAAGUGUUAAGUCGUGUGAGUUUGUCAGAUUUGAUAAUUUAAAUUAAAUGAAAUAAGGAAUCAAAAAUAAAAUUAGCCGUAAGUGUAAAAGGAGAUUUAUGUAAUUUUGAGGAAAAGCCAGAGCAAAGUGCACCGUAUUACUUAGUUUGCUUUGGGGAUGAACUGGGCUGUUUAAUAUUGCGUUCCCCGGUACCUCUUCCUCUCGGUGCAGGACUGAACCUUUCGGCGCAUGAUUGCAAGGCCGCAAUUGUGCCCGAAAAAUGGCUCGCCGCCGGAGGAAUGUGGCUGUUACUACUGCUCAGAUUGUUACCCCAGCUCAUGGUGUUACAAAGGAGUUAGAACCGCUGACAUUUGGUAAUUUCCUCCCCCAAAAGUUCCAAUCG